CAGAAGAAUUCUGCAGCCUCAGACAUGUCUACAAGGAAGAAACUGAGGGGGAAAAAAAUCACCCAAAGAAUGUAACCAUGGGAUCCUAGAAGGGGAACCUUACUACCCAGUGAAGAGGGGGAUCCAAAUGAAGUUGGUGGAAUGGGAGCCCUGUUCACUCUGUGGGAAAACUUGGC